rnacentral:rRNA from 1 species
UACGAAGGGGGGCUAGCGUUGCUCGGAAUCACUGGGCGUAAAGGGCGCGUAGGCGGACAGUUAAGUUGGGGGGUGAAAAGCCCCGGGGCUCAACCUCGGAAUUGCCUUCAAUACUGGCUGUCUUGAGUUCGGGAGAGGUGAGUGGAAUGCCGAGUGUAGAGGUGAAAUUCGUAGAUAUUCGGCGGAACACCAGUGGCGAAGGCGACUCACUGGCCCGAUACUGACGCUGAGGCGCGAAAGCGUGGGGAGCAAACAGG